CCCCUAGGGUUUGGGUCUGGUUUCAGCGGGGAUCAGCCGCUGAUGGAAACGGGGAAAGAACGGUGCAAAUCCGUCGCUGUCCCGCAGCUGUAAAGCGUCCGGCCCCGCCGGCGUCAGUCAGAACGCCCGCCAGGAGCACUACCGACGA
rnacentral:ncRNA from 2 species